ensembl:lncRNA
GGGGUGGGUCGUCAUGUGACACACAGCAGCCACAACAGCAUAUUGGCAAAUUAUUAUUAAGCAUUAUUUAUUUAUGCUUAUUUUUAUUAGAAACAUUCCAAGACGCAUGAACUAUAUCAUGAAAUAUCUCGAUUCUCACAUUCAUAGAUUAUGUUCAAAGUAGCCCAAUAAUGUAAUCUAUUAACUAUGCAUAAAAACCUGUCUGUUUACUUAAGUAACAGAUCAGAAUCCCGCAAAAUGCAUUGCAGUCAUAGAUUGAAAAAUAAUAAGCAUAAAUAAAACAUUUAAAAACACAUGUAAAAUAAUAACGCACAAAACUGAAAAACAAAUGCAUUUUUUUUUUUUUAAAAUAACAAACAACGCGGUCAUGGAUCGAAAAAUAAUAAGCGUGAAUCAAAAAUGUAAACACAUUUAAAAUUAUAUUGCACAAAACUGAAACAUGAAUUCAAAAUUUUCCAAAUCGCAAACAAAAUCAGGUUUCCUGCUCAUAUGUUACUUUUUUGUGUGCUUAUGGUCUUUUCCCCUUUGCUCUUGUUUCCACGUUCUGCGCUUGCGUUUCUAAAUGUUGCGGUUAGAGUUUCAUGUAAAUCAGGGCGGGCUUCAGCGUCACCAUUGGGCCACAAGUUCUAGAUUGACAGCUGCUCCUCUAGCCAAUCAGUCCAAGGGGGAGUUGACGUCACUCCAAUGCGACUCGUGGCUGCUGUGGAAGAGGAGCAGCUGUCAAUCUAGAACUUGUGGCCCAAUGGUGGCAGUGAAGCCCGCCCUGAUUUACAUGAAACUCUAACCGCAACAUUUAGAAACGCAAGCGCAGAACGUGGAAACAAGAGCAAAGGGGAAAAGACCAUAAGCACACAAAAAAGUAACAUAUGAGCAGGAAACCUGAUUUUGUUUGCAAUUUGGAAAAUUUUGAAUUCAUGUUUCAGUUUUGUGCAAUAUAAUUUUAAAUGUGUUUACAUUUUUGAUUUAUGCUUAUUAUUUUUCGAUCUGUGACUGCAAUACAUUUGGCGGGAUUCUGAUCCCAUACCCUUAACCUAAACUACAAUCGUAAAUUCGGCCCUUAGCAUCUAUGUCACAGCUCUCAGCCCGCCCUCUGUUUGUUGAUUGGAUGGCUGGUGCGGAGCCGGAGAAAAUCUGGGAGCUGGUUUGCUAUCUCAGACUGAGUACAGAAGCGAACUGAAAUUGAGCGGAAGUAUGAAGUCUGACGUAGUCAGGCUAGUAAGAUGCCCCAGUAUUCUUAUUUUUAUUUAUAAAUUUCAAGUGACAUUUAUAUAAAGUAUGAAACCUAUUCCAUUUAAAAUUUUGUUUUGACAAUUUAC